UUUUCGAAGCUUUACAGUGCACUUCAGUGCUGCUCUAUACAGCUAUAAUGUGGUAUACGUGGCAAUUAUUAAUUUUAUAUACUUUUUCGCUGUAUAUCUGGCAGGCGAAUGGUGCGUGCUGUCGCUCAACCUCAAUGACUUAUUUUCUAAAAAAUAGUCACAGUACGACUUGUGCGGAUAUCGCUGGAGGGAGCCAAGUUCACUUUUGGAACAAAGAUGAGUGCCAAGCUAAAGUCUGUCAGGAUCUCUCAAAUUCGACACCCUGUUGUGGGGUAGGCAGAUGCAACUUUUUCUGCUGCAACUGUAAUCGCGGAUGCAGGAAAGCUAAAAUUACUGUUUUGGAUGAUUUUAAGGCAGAGUAUGGCCAUAAAACAGUAUUUACACAUCAACAACAAGAAUUGCCAUUUUUUAAUGAAAAAGAAAGUAUCAGCAACCCCGAGCCCAAAAAAAAAGAGUAAGAUUAUUUAGCAAAGCUUCUCAAAAUCUUUUUAAUUUAUUGUGUUUCAUUUAAGAAUAACACUUCAUGGGUAUAUAAUGAUAUAAUAAAAUUUUUAAUAUUUUGGUACCACGGCAA
rnacentral:sRNA from 1 species